CUUCUCAACCCCCUGGAGCGUACCCUGAUGCCACACUGCAGAGGCCCCCACCUCUCCACCAAUGCCCCCCACAGUUCACCUGGUCCUCACACAGGCCCUGCCCCACAGAGGCAGACGCCCUUGCCUGCCUGUAGAGGAUCAAGGCACCCAGUCAAUGCAGGCUGAAAAGUAGCCUGAGGGCUUGCUGUUAAGUGGGGCGAUCCCUAAGGCAGGUUGCCUGCCCCAGCUGAACUGGGUUAAAUCUGUGCUCUAUUGGGCGUGGCAGACCCCUGGACUAACAGGCCUAGGGAUGAACCUCAAUGGCACCCACCGGGGUCCAUGUCAGCACGCCUGGACCAGCUCAGAACAAUGGCCCCCACCAAUGUCUCAGUCUCCGGAGACGUCCCUCAUCUCACCAAGAUGCCCCCAGAGCCCACCAGAUGCUUCAGGUUAGUUCAACAGACAAAGAAGAGUCUACCAUAAGCCAGGCUGGGCAAGGCUUUGAGACAAGACAUUGUUCAUGGAGCACCUGAGCUCUUAGAGGACCAAAUCAAAUAUUCAGAAUUGAUUUGCAGCCCAGUAGACUUCUUUUAUAUUUCAUUAAAUAUAGACAUGAAAAUAAUCUGCAGGAACAACACCACCAUUCAGCUUUCUGUGGACAAACCUCAGUUUAUGUGCUUCUGCACAAGAAGCCCCUUUUAUGCUGAUGAAGAAUAGAAGAGGACACAUAUUGACUCAUUAUCCCCAGUGGAUAAGCUCUCUUUAUUAUAUGAUUUAGUUUGAUUAUAUGAUUAUAUUGUUAUAUGAUAAGAAGGGAGACCAGAGCUCUCUCCUUCUCCACACACACAAAGAAGAGAUCAUGCACAUACACGAGGAAAUGGUGGCCACCUGCAUGUCAAGAUAAGAAGACCAAGAAUGAAACCCUAGUUUGCUGACACCUUGAUCUUGAACUUACCAGUCUUCAGAACUGUAAGAAAUAAAUGUCUCUUGUUUAAGUCACCCAGUCUGAGGUAUUUUGUAUACACAAAUUAUAUACAAUUAUAUUG
rnacentral:lncRNA from 1 species